rnacentral:rRNA from 1 species
UGCGUAGACGGUAUGUUAAGUUCGUUGUUAAAGGCUCUGGCCUAACCGGAGUAUUGCAAUGAAAACUGGCGUGCUAGAGGGUGAGAGAGAGAAGUGGAAUUCCUGGAGUAGCGGUAAAAUGCGUGGAUCUCAGGAGGAACACCAAUGGCGAAGGCAGCUUCUUGGCUCAUUCCUGACGUUGAGGCACGAAAGCGUGGGAGCAAACA